rnacentral:rRNA from 1 species
UACGGAGGGUGCGAGCGUUAAUCGGAAUUACUGGGCGUAAAGGGCGCGUAGGCGGUUGGGUAAGUCGGGUGUGAAAGCCCUGGGCGUUAACCUACGGGAAGUAGGCGAUUCGUAGACCACCCUAGCUAGAGUCUGGUAGAGGGAAGUGGAAUUUCCGGUGUAGCGAUGAAAUAGUGUAGAUAUCGGAAGGAACACCUAUGGCGAAGGCAGCUCGCUGGGACGUUACUGACGCUGAGACGCGAAAGCGUGGGGAGCAAACAGGAUUAGAAACCCUACGUAGU